CCUACGGGAGGCAGCAGUGAGGAAUUUUCCGCAAUGGGCGAAAGCCUGACGGAGCAAUACCGCGUGAGGGAUGAAGGAUUUUGGUCUGUAAACCUCUUUUCUCAAGAAAGAAGUUCUGACGGUACUUGAGGAAUAAGCAUCGGUUAACUCCGUGCCAGCAGCCGCGGUAAUACGGGGGAUGCAAGCGUUAUCCGGAAUGAUUGGGCGUAAAGCGCCUGUAGGUUGUUUAUUAAGUCCGUUGUUAAAGCCUAGGGCUCAACCCUAGAAAAGCAAUGGAAACUAGUAGACUAGAGUAUGGCAGGGGUAGAGGGAAUUUCUAGUGUAGCGGUGAAAUGCGUAGAUAUUAGAAAGAACACCGGUGGCGAAAGCGCUCUACUGGACCAUUACUGACACUCAGAGGCGAAAGCUAGGGUAGCAAAAGGGAUUAGAUACCCCUGUAGUCCUAGCCGUAAACGAUGGAUACUAGAUGUUGUGCAUUAUGUACAGUAUCGUAGCUAACGCGUUAAGUAUCCCGCCUGGGGAGUACGCUCGCAAGGGUGAAACUCAAAUGAAUUGACGG
rnacentral:rRNA from 1 species